GGAAUUUUGAGAAGUGGGAUCGAGAAUAUUGUUAUGCAGCUUGACGAUGUUUUCGACGAGAUCGUUGAUGGGAGGAAGAUGCUCUUGAAUUUCUGCAGCCAUAGGUAGAUCAAAGUCAGCUUUCAACUCAAAAAAAAAACAAAAAAAGAAAAAAAAAAAAAGGAAAAAUGUAAGUGUAGGGUAAGUAAGUUAGUAGGUGGUUUAUUGUAACUUUUGUAUUUUCUUUUACAUCUAUUUCUCUUUGUGUAUUUCAAGAAUGCAAGAGGAAAAUUUUCUUGAAAAAAAAUGCAGUAAAAAAAAAAGAGAAAAAAGAAACCAAACAUAAAAGUAGAAUUUGCUCUGUUUAUGUUUCUGUUUACCAUGAAAAGGAAGAAGUGAAAAAACAGAAUGGAAGCUUCUUUCCUGAAACAGGGGGGACAAAAAGGUCAAAUCUUGACAAUUCAUAUUUAACUUUCCUAUGUUUUAUUUAUUUAUUUAUUGCAUUGUUUUACUACAAAGUAUCUGUUGUCUGUUACUGCUUACUGCUACUUGAUUAUUUUACUAGUAACUGUUUUUGGUCAUGUAAUAUGAAUUAUUUUUGCACUCUGGGAAGCUUUUUUGUCUGAGUCAGUUUCAUUUUGACAGCAAUUGCAUUUGAUGAUGAAAGUCUCUCUCUCUCUCUCUCUCUCUCUCUCUCUCUCUCUCUCUCUCUCUCUCUCUCUAACACACAGAGAGUGCACACUGCACACAAAGAAGAGACACAAAUCAAUUCCGACAUGACUUUAUUCUGUUAGUGCCCAUCUUAUUCCUACAAACUAUGGUGGGCAACAUAACAUAGUUUCACAGUAAUAUGAUUAAAAAAAAGAAAAAAAAAAUCAUGAGCUGGGAUAUUUUUGAGUAAGAUUUUCUGGCAAAAUAUUGCUGGAAAAAAAAAACCAAUUAGAAGCAUAAACAAAAUUCUUCUUAUGCCCGAAAACCAAAUUCGAAGACAAGAAACUCAAGUUCCAUAAGGAAGAUAGGAUACUAGAAUUAGAGUUUGUUGGAUUUUGGGAUCAAACUGAAUUAAUCAAGAACUCAGCACAUUAACGCGAUCGAUCUCCACUUAAGACGCCCAACACGUUGGGUCCAAACAACACAAAUCCCACUCGGUGACUUGAGAACCUUUUAUGAUCAUUUGAUCUUGACCGUUAACACUCACCUCUUUCAUUUGGACCACUCGUUCGAGGUAUUUCAACUCCGCCUCCUUCCCAACCCUAAAACUUUGAUCUUCUCUUUUCCGUACCACCGCACCGAACAUUUUCCGCGCCGACACAUCUGUUUGACUAUGACGAUGGUUGGUACAACUUAUACUCUCUACUUUGAACACAAUCUUACUUUUCCAUCUAUAUAGUAAACCAUUCGGGGAAAACAUACAUACGAAUUUGAAUCUCCUUCAAGUUUGCUUCAGCUUUUUACCACCAAAAAUAAUACAUCAAACACCUUCAUAAAAUCUGGACCCCUUCUUUUUUAUUUCCUUCCAUUUUUCCACCCUCUCAAUUAAAGUACAUGAUAUCACAACAUAUCAUUUUUUUUUAAAGGGAUUUGGUAAAAUAUAUCUAAUAUUUCUAAGCUACACAUAAACACAAACACAUAGAGUGCACUGGAAAACAAUUCUGGUAAAAGAAAAAGUUCUCAAUUAAGCAUAGAAAUCAAAACCAAUAUAUUAAUUGAAAUCAAGCAUACAUACAAAUUGCCUUAAAAAAAAAAGUUGGUUUACAUUUACAAAUAGAUAUAUACUAAGGGGAGGAAUAAAAGCAACAGAAGCAUCGACAGCAGCGCCUGAAGCAGGUACAGUAAAGGUACCGUAAUGGGCCUCGACGAUUCGAGGAAGCCGAUGAUGAAUUCUGGUCAGCCGGUCGAUUUUCCAUCGGAGCACACCUAGUCCGUGUGUUUCUGCGUGAGAGAGUGGUGUGUUUUUUACACUCAGCUAAAAGUCGUUGAAACCAAGAAAACGCUUUUUAGUUUUUUC
rnacentral:lncRNA from 1 species